UCAGUCGACUCCUACGGGGAGGCAGCAGUGGGGGAAUAUUGCACAAUGGGCGCAAGCCUGAUGCAGCCAUGCCGCGUGUGUGAAGAAGGCCUUCGGGUUGUAAAGCACUUUCAGUCGUGAGGAAGGUAGUGUAGUUAAUAGCUGCAUUAUUUGACGUUUAGCGACAGAAGAAGCACCGGCUAACUCCGUGCCAGCAGCCGCGGUAAUACGGAGGGUGCGAGCGUUAAUCGGAAUUACUGGGCGUAAAGCGCAUGCAGGUGGUUUGUUAAGUCAGAUGUGAAAGCCCGGGGCGUCAACCUCGGAAUAGCAUUUGAAACUGGCAGACUAGAGUACUGUAGAUGGGGUAGGAAUUUCAGGUGUAGCGGUGAAAUGCGUAGAGAUCUGAAGGAAUACCGGUGGCGAAGGCGGCCCCCUGGACAGAUACUGACACUCAGAUGCGAAAGCGUGGGGAGCAAACAGGAUUAGAUACCCUGGUAG
rnacentral:rRNA from 1 species